AACAGCCCUCUUUCCAGCAUCUGAAGCUCAUAUGAGCUUACUGUGUGGACCCACUCAGAACCCCAGAGUUGGAAUAAAGAUUAUUUUAAACUGAAGAUAUUUGAGGUUCAACAGAUGCAGAGAAAAGCCUCCUCAGAGCUUCCCUUGUCUGACUAAAAGCAGCAACUUCUGAACCCCAAUCACAGAACCUAAAAGUAUAGAGGAAAAGUUUACCUCCCCUCCAUUAUUGAUCUUCUGCCUCCAUCUGUAGAGUCUCAGCUUCUAACCCAGAAGCAGCUGAAGGAAUGCUGGGUUUUCGGACAAGCUGCAGAAAUACAGGAGGGAGCUUGAAGACCUGAAAGACAGGUGCCUUCUCCAGAUCAUUGCUCCUCUGAUUAAUUCCUUAGAACAAAGCUUGCAGCACUUAUGUGGCGAUUGACUGGAGGAUCCCGAGGCUGUUCCCAGCCGGCUCCCAGGCCUUUCCUGAGUGCUUUUGCUGGUGAAGUGUCUGAGGGGUAGGGGGACCUGAUGCCCAGAACCUGGCCAGAAAGCAGACAGUGUUCUGCCUCCGGGAUGACGGGUUUGCUGGUUCUUUGGAGACAGUUUCCCACUGGAGCCAAAUCAAGUGAGUGACAUUCUGACUUAGGAGUCACUGACAUACUGGGUUGAAAUCUAUCAGGAGGUGAAAUUGGUUCUCCUUUACAAAGAUAAGAUACAAGUAGAGUUUAUCUUACUGCUACCACCACCACCAUCGUUAUCUUUGCUCUCUAUCUGCACUAUGAAAAAUUCUUUACUUAAUUUCAUUUAACUCUUAAAUCUCAGGAUUAAAACAGAUAAUAAGUAACUCGGUAUAUACGAGUAUCACUACUGACAGGUGAUGACACCUCACCCCAUUGAGUUCAGGACCAGGGAAGUGAAUUCCUCAGUGGACUUGCAGAUGUCCCAUUACUAUACUCUGAAACAUAAGAAAUCCAUAUAAUUUCCUUUGUUUUCUCGGCUACAAGGAAAUUCCAGAAUUUCUCUCAAUUGCUCUAGCUUUCCGCUGCUGAAAGUUCUCACCGUAACUCUUCUCUACCCAUCUGUCAUUAUUUCUUGGUUCCCAAUUAGUAAACAAAAAAUACAUAAGAAUUAUAGUUUUGAUGGUAUGUGAGUCUGCACUACAAAUAAUAUGUGUAUAAAUGAACUGAAAAUGCCGAACGUUAUUCUAAAGCCAGUGUGUCGAUUGUGUGUUGGUUCUUCUGCAGUACGGUGGAGUGCGCUCCUAAUAGACUCCUAAUAGACUGACCCUCCUUCAGGUGAUAACCAUAAACCCUAGAUAAAAUACAGAAAUCCGAAAGGCUCUGAGUAGCGAACAAAGACAGGAGGAUUGUGUUGCGUAUUUGAAACUUGGAAGAAGGGACUAGCGUGAAGUGGGUUUCCCCUUUCGAUGACUUUUGAGUUGAAGGAAGCCACGGUCAUGACACAGCACAGAGCAUCGAAUAUGCUGACAGAAAGCCCAGUGUCUUUCUGGCCUGAAGAACCAGAGGAUAGAGACAGAGGACAGCUGCUGGAAGAUGAGGGAAUGAAUUCCAGAGAGGAAAUAAGCAGAGAAGAGAGCCCCAAAUUCUGUGAAUAAAUUCUCCCCAAGUCUCUGGCUGAUCCCUGAAUUGUGCACGCAUGGUGCAGACCCAAAGAAGCUUGCAGCUAAGACCAAAACACCUGAGAUGAAAUUAGAUCUGCUGCCCACUUCAGAGGAGAGAGAGUU